rnacentral:rRNA from 1 species
ACACGCAUGACACACUGCAUAUCAAUAAGCGGAGGAAAAGAAACUAACAAGGAUUCCCUAGUAACGGCGAGUGAAGCGGGAAGAGCUCAAAUUUGAAAUCUUAAAGGGUUCUACCUUGACGAAUUGUAGUUUAAAGAAGUGUUUUCUAGUUGGAGUUUUCGGUAAAAGUUCUUUGGAAUAGGACAUCAUAGAGGGUGAGAAUCCCGUAUUUGAUCAUUCUCCUAACUUUGUGAUACACUUUCAACGAGUCGGAUUGUUUGGGAAUGCAGUCCAAAAUGGGUGGUAAAUUUCAUCUAAAGCUAAAUAUUGGCGAGAGACCGAUAGCGAACAAGUACCGUGAGGGAAAGAUGAAAAGAACUUUGAAAAGAGAGUUAAACAGUACGUGAAAUUGUCAAAAGGGAAGCGUUUGACACCAGUGUUGUUCGUUCGAAAAUCAAUUACAAUAGUUUUGAUUUAUAGUAGUUAUGACUUCAUCAGCUUGCUUCUCUCUUUAUGAAACUUUCUUAAUGCACUUUUCGGUUAACAAGUCAACAUCAAUUUCUUUUGUUGUAAAAGGGUAUGAGGAAGGUGGCUUUCUUUUCGGAGAAAGUGUUUAUAGCCUUGUACCUCUGCAAUCGGAGAGAUUGAGGUCUGCAGCGUAGAUCCUUCGGGGUUAGAUACAUUUGUGCUAAGCUAUAGUUCUUUAUAGACAACUUGUUGACUAUAAUCAAUCCUGUAACUUACUCGCUUAUGCUAUUUUACCUACGCUUAGGAUGUUGAACUACUGAGACAUAG